rnacentral:rRNA from 1 species
AGCGGCGGACGGGUGAGUAAUGCUUAGGAAUCUGCCAUUUAGUGGGGGACAACAUUCCGAAAGGGAUGCUAAUACCGCAUACGUCCUACGGGAGAAAGCAGGGGAUCUUCGGACCUUGCGCUAAAUGAUGAGCCUAAGUCGGAUUAGCUAGUUGGUGGGGUAAAGGCCUACCAAGGCGACGAUCUGUAGCGGGUCUGAGAGGAUGAUCCGCCACACUGGGACUGAGACACGGCCCAGACUCCUACGGGAGGCAGCAGUGGGGAAUAUUGGACAAUGGGCGGAAGCCUGAUCCAGCCAUGCCGCGUGUGUGAAGAAGGCCUUUUGGUUGUAAAGCACUUUAAGCGAGGAGGAGGCUACCUGGAUUAAUACUCUGGGAUAGUGGACGUUACUCGCAGAAUAAGCACCGGCUAACUCUGUGCCAGCAGCCGCGGUAAUACAGAGGGUGCGAGCGUUAAUCGGAUUUACUGGGCGUAAAGCGUGCGUAGGCGGCUGAUUAAGUCGGAUGUGAAAUCCCUGAGCUUAACUUAGGAAUUGCAUUCGAUACUGGUCAGCUAGAGUAUGGGAGAGGAUGGUAGAAUUCCAGGUGUAGCGGUGAAAUGCGUAGAGAUCUGGAGGAAUACCGAUGGCGAAGGCAGCCAUCUGGCCUAAUACUGACGCUGAGGUACGAAAGCAUGGGGAGCAAACAGGAUUAGAUACCCUGGUAGUCCAUGCCGUANACGAUGUCUACUAGC